AUGCAGUUGCAGCUAGCGUACGUCUCACUAUUAGUUCAGAAGGCACGGACCAGGUCAAAUUCAGUUUCAACUUUUAUUUUGUCUUUGGCGCGCAACACAUGGAACAGGUUAAAUGCAAAGUUGUCACUUUGUUAUUACUGCUGCCUGCUGGCCGGUGGUGUAGGAUGCAAGACUACCGACGACGGCGAGAGGCGGAAGAGAACAAGCACAUGGAAAAGAACAACCAACCAAUCACCUCAAGAUGGGACUCUACCUACUGGCACUGCCAAGCGCCUACUCGUCGCCGUCUCCGCCGCCGCCGAAGAGCACGGACCGGUAGUAGAGAAGGACGAGGACGAGGACCAGCAUGAGCGCCACGCCGAUGGCGGAUUCCCCAACGUGGUGCACAGCGUCGGGCGAGCCGCCGAACGCGAACACGUCAAGGCCGCGGUAGGAGGAUAG
rnacentral:rRNA from 1 species